rnacentral:hammerhead_ribozyme from 1 species
AUCCAACUGGCGAGUCCCAAAUAGGAUGAAAUGCGUGUCCUGGAU